CCUACGGGAGGCAGCAGUGAGGAAUAUUGGGCAAUGGACGGAAGUCUGAACGAGCAAUGCCGCGUGCAGGAAGACGGCGCUAGGAGUGGUAAACUGCGUUUGUACAAGGGAAAAACGGAAUAAGUGUAUGCAGCUGAAAGGACGGUACGAAUAAGGAUAGGCUAACUCCGUGCCAGCAGCCGCGGUAAGACGGAGGAUACAAGCGUUAUCCGGAUUGAUUGGGGUUAAAGGGUGCGGAGGCGGAUUGAUAAGUUAGGGGUGAAAUGUCCGAGCUGAACGCGGGAACUGCCUCUCAUACUGUUGCUCUAGAGUGUAGCUGCGGUAGGCGGACUGUCUUGUGUAGCGG
rnacentral:rRNA from 1 species